UUUUUCUUAGUUUCCCUUCUUAAAAGUUUUCUUUCUCCUUGGUUCUUAGAUGUCUUGUGGCUUCAAGCACUCAGCAGUGGUCACUUCAGAUGGCAAACUGUUUACCUUUGGGAAUGGUGACUAUGGUCGUCUGGGUCUUGGAAAUACCUCUAACAAAAAACUUCCAGAGAGAGUGACUGCACUGGAGGGAUAUCAGAUUGGACAGGUGGCCUGUGGAUUAAACCACACUUUGGCGGUGUCAGCAGAUGGUUCCAUGGUGUGGGCUUUUGGAGAUGGAGACUAUGGAAAACUAGGCUUAGGAAAUUCCACUGCAAAAUCUUCACCUCAGAAAAUUGAUGUCCUUUGUGGAAUUGGAAUAAAAAAGGUUGCUUGUGGAACUCAGUUUUCUGUUGCUUUGACCAAAGAUGGUCAUGUGUAUACCUUUGGUCAAGAUCGCCUGAUAGGCUUGCCAGAGGGGCGUGCUCGCAAUCACAAUCGACCGCAACAAAUCCCUCUCCUGGCUGGAGUGAUAAUUGAAGAUGUGGCAGUUGGAGCUGAACACACACUU
rnacentral:sRNA from 1 species